CGUCAAAUCAUCAUGCCCCUUAUGUCCUGGGCUACACACGUGCUACAAUGGCCGGUACAGCGGGAAGCGAAGCGGUAACGUGGAGCAAAUCCCUAAAAGCCGGUCCCAGUUCGGAUUGUGGGCUGCAACCCGCCCACAUGAAGUCGGAGUUGCUAGUAAUCGCGAAUCAGCAUGUCGCGGUGAAUGCGUUCCCGGGCCUU
rnacentral:rRNA from 1 species